rnacentral:sRNA from 1 species
UGUGGAGUCAAAUAUGACUAGAUGUCAUGUGUAUGAGUGAGUAUAACAACUAGAACCGCAACCGGAUUUUAAAAGCCUAAGUAUUGCAUCCUUGUUAGAAGAUACAAAGACAAAGACUCAUACGGACUUCGGGUACACCAUCAAAGCUUUGAGAAGCAAGAAGAAGCUUGGUUAGUGUUUUGGAGUCAAAAUUGUUAUGUGUAUGAUUGAGAAUAAGAACUUAAACCGGAACCCGAGCUUAUUAGC